rnacentral:rRNA from 1 species
CCUACGGGAGGCAGCAGUGAGGAAUAUUGGGCAAUGCCCGAAAGGGUGACCCAGCGACGCCGCGUGGGGGAAGAAGGCCUUCGGGUUGUAAACCCCUGUUGGGAGGGUAGAUGUUCCAGCAGGCUAAUAUCCUGCUGGAAUGACCAACCUCCUGAGGAAGCACCGGCUAACUCCGUGCCAGCAGCCGCGGUAAAACGGAGGGUGCGAGCGUUGCUCGGAUUUACUGGGCGUAAAGGGGGAGUAGGCGGCCGGGUAAGUCAGCUGUAAAAUCCCACAGCUAAACGGUGGAAAGGCAGCUGAAACUGCCAGGCUAGAGGCCGGAAGAGGGGAAGGAAAUUCUCGGUGUAGCGGUGAAAUGCGUUGAUAUCGAGAGGAACACCGAUGGCGAAGGCGGUUCCCGGGGACGGUCCUGACGCUGAGUCCCGAAAGCGUGGGGAGCAAACAGGAUUAGAUCCCCCUGUAGU